AAGCUCAGGCACUCAGUUAAUGAUGCAGCAGUACAGGGAAGACUAUCACAUGUGAGCUGGAAGGCUGCCAACAUGGAGACACGCAGAGAGCAAGCUAAACAUUUGAGCUUUGCAGGACUAGACAGCAGCAAAGGGUUUCCCUUCAAAAUGUUCCUAAGGAUGUGGGCAAUGUUUCUUGAACCUCAGGCAAUGAAUUAAUCCCUUCUCUAUGACUGAAUGAAGGCAAAAGCAUGAGGAGCAACAGUAGUCUAAUACCCAAAGUGUCAAUAUUAGAGAAGGACACUAGGGCUGAACUUAAAAUGGGAAAUAAAUCACUGUUGCUUUAAAAAAAGUCAGCACAAAUGUACUGAAAAGUGUGAAAGCUGCACCCUUAAAAAUGGAAAAUCUGUAAUCUUCCCCACUACUUCACAACUACUGAAAUUAUAGUGUAACUGUUCAAUCACAGGAAUCAGAAGUUUAAGAAGGAUAGAUAGCAUGUAAUAGGCAAAUGUCUUAUUAACUAUUAAGUAUGAGCAGACCAAGAAUAAAUGCCACUGAAACUUAACUCCAUGCAAAGAACAAAACAAGCAUUACCAGAGGGUCAGCAGAAUUAUCAAAUCACGAGAGAGAGAACUGCAAACUCCUACAGAGCAUUUUACCACGUCUUCUUUGAAACCAGGUAUGGGAAACUCCCGUUCUUCAGUCCCUGCACAACGUAAUUGUUUCACAUCAGCUAGCUCUCUAAAUGGAACAUGAGAUAAUGAUCUAAAGGCCACACUUGUGCUUAAUAAUUCUUCCACCAGUAGCACCAGCACUUACUAUAAUACCUACAAAAGGCAGUCUAGGGAUACAACAGAAUACUAAUUACUUUUUUUACUUUAGGAAAAAAAAUAGCUCAAGCUAUUAUUUACAUAACCUCUGCAAGUUCUUUGUAGGUUCAAAAAAUGACAAUGGCUAAAAUCAGUUCAAGGUUCUUAUUUAACCUGAAGUUGAAGAUGAAACAACACCAAGGGCAUAUGCAGCACCAAACAAGUUCCUUCCUGGGAAUAACUGAGGUGCAGCUAUUGAUACAUAAACUCUUUAUCCCAACCUCCAUGUAGUAAAAUGGCUGGUUAUAGAUAGAAGACAUUAGGAGUUACAAAUAGAAGAAUCUUUUCUAGAUAAAGAAUAAUGAGCAGGUAUGCCUUGACUUUAAUCUACU